rnacentral:lncRNA from 1 species
CUGCCACUGACCCCUCCCCCUGGCCAGCUGGCCUCCCCGCCCCGUCAGUCCUUUCAGAUCCCUCUGGACUCACUUCAAUCCUUUCCUUUCCUGCUUUGCAGGUCAGCCUCUCCAUUCCUCCCUCUAAUCUUGCACAAAACCCUUCUUGGGGCUCAUUUUUUUUUUCAAAAAGAGUCAGUUCUACUUGGAAAGAAGAUGUAUCUCCUCCCCCCGCCUCCCCGCCCCCUAGCUCUCUCUCUGCCGGUCCGUGACUGGCUCGUGCCCAGCCCCACAUCGACUCUCUUUCUCUCUUUUUCUCCAUCCCCUUUAUUCUUCAGUUUUCCCACCCUUGCUUCCAUAUCCAUCAUGGACCAAAGAUUAACCUUUGAGGAUAAAACCAGGCUUUUCCCCCAGUUGAGGCUUUUGUACAAAGUGUUCUUCCAGAAACCUCUCCAAUUCCUAUCUUGCCAGAAGAAACUGGGGUGGGCCCCUAGAAAAGCAGCCCUGCGUUUCCAGUGUACUUGUGGCCCCGUAAGCUUCCCCUGAAGUCCAGAGGACCCGCUCUGAGGUUCUGAGCAAGCCUGGCUCCCGGGUCCAGGGUGGGGCUGGCAGCAUUCGGGCCCAGGGGCUUGGGAGCUGUCAGAGGACAACUCCAAGAAGGGAGUCCCUGGAGACCUGCAGGAGGUGUCGCAGCCUGCUUGGCUGGAAAGAGACACGCCACUUUUGGUGCCAGGUGAGCGGUAAAGAUGGAAACUGUUACCAAGGGCCUGGGGACUGGGUGUCUGAGACUGCCCUAGCAAACUCCCAGGGGAUGGGUUCACACUAGUACAGGUGAGUUUUGCUGUCCAGCCACGCCUCUGUCAAGUGUGGUCACCAAGACCUUUGAUUGUUUUUAUUUACUCUUUUAUUGAGGCAUCAUUUACAGAUGAUAAAAUGCACAAUUUUUUUUUUUUUUAAAUAUUUAUUUAUUUGGCAGCCCUGGGUCUUAGUCACGGCAUCCAGGAUCUUUAGUUGUGGGAUGCAGUGUCCCUGACCAGGGACUGAACCCAGGUCCCUUGCAUUGCGAGCAUGGAGUCUUAGCCACUGGACCACCACAGAAGUCCAAAAUGCACAAAUUUUAAGUGGACAGGGACUUGGUGGUCCAGUGGCUAAGACUACGCGCUCCCAACGCAGGGCGCUUGGGUUCAAUCCCUGGUCAAGGAACUAAAUCCCAUGUCCCACAGUGAAGAGUUCAUGUGCUGCAACUAAGACCCACUGCAGCCCAACAAACAAAUAUUGAAACAAAACAAAAAAAUUCUUAAGUGGAUGGUUUGAUGAAUCUUUACCAUUGUCUACACCCAUGUGACCACCACCCAGGUCAGCACAGAGGACGUUCCAUCAUCCGGUGAGGCCCCUCAAGCCCUCUUCCCAAGCCCCACCGCCCACUGCCCCCGUAUUCUGACCCUAGUGCCACAAACAAACUGUCAAACUCCAUAUAAAUUUAGUUAGCUGGGAUGUGCUCUUUCGUGUCUGAUUCCUUUUCCUUUACAUUGUUUUUGAGCUUUAUCCAUAGUAUUGCGUGUAAGAGCAAUUCAUUCAUCUCCCUUCGGUGCUGUACACCAUGUAUUCCUGUGUUCUUCCACUGAUGGGCAUUUGGGUUGUGUUUAGGGUUUGGCUAUUUGUGGUUCAGCUGCAGUGGGUGCUUCUGAGGACCCUGCUUUCCUUUGGGCUCAUCCCCAGGAGGGGAUCUGCUCAGUCAGAUGUUACAUGUAUGUUUGAUUUUAGCAGAAUUACCUGACAGGCCUUUGCAGGGCUUGGACCAGUCCACCCUUUCACUGACGAUGUGUGUGCCCUUGUUACUCCCCAGCCUCACUCCCCUGAAUGUUUCCAGAGCUUUGGUUGUAGCCAUCCUGGUGAGUACACAGUCCAGGACUCGGAGUUUUAAUCUGUAACCCCUGUAAUCACUGAUGUGAAUCACCUUUUCAUGUUUCCCGGCCAUUUGGCUAAUUGCCAUGUCUAAGUUGUUUGCCCACUUUUUUCUAUUGGGCAUCUGAGAACUUCUGAUUAAGGGAAAAGCAUCAUGAAACAGUGCCUUAAUUAUGCCAGGAAUUGAGAGGGGGGCUCAAGUGCGUUUGUGCAGAGGAUGGGAGUGAGAGAAGGGAUCUUGGUAAUGAGUCUGCCCCUGGCCCCAGAAGUUAAUGGAUCUAUCUCCCUAGCACUGAGAACAGGCUAUGGGCAAGACUGGGAGUCGGUAAAAUUCAUGAAAUAGGGAGACUGUUCUUUUAUUUUUUCUAUUUGAAAGCAGGCUGUUGUGGACCUGGUAAUAAAUGGUGUUCUCCACUUUCUACUUUCCCAUCCCCCUGAAGCUAGGCCAGAUCGUGGGCCCCCUCUGGUUCGGGACAGCAACCUGUAAGCAGCCUUUGGCCACCAGAUCACUAAUACAACCCUGACUCAGACCUGUUGAUCGGCUUGCUUGGAUCCCAUGAAAAGCCUCGCAGUAUCUGGGGGCCCUGGAAUUGCAUCGCUAUCUACACUCUAGUUUCUUUAGCAUCAAGAUUCACAGCCAAUAGCCCAGGUGUCCCAGCACCUGGAUCACUAGAUCCCCAGGAGACAUCUUAGAGGCCCCAGGCUGCCCUGUCCAGGUCUUUGCUGAGCACUUGCUCUGCUCAGGGUGACUGUCAGAUCGGGGAUGAACUUUGUGUCCCUUUGUGUGCAGGGCUCAGGUAAGUGGCCACCUGCUCAUCUCCUUGGCCACCUGGCUCCCGUACAGCCCUAUCAGUAUUUGUGAACUGAAUGGAUGAAUGAAUGAUUUGGGGUUGAUUCAUCUCCCAACCAGGCAGGCCAUCUUUCAUUCCUGUCACUAUGGGCCAGAUGAACAACCAGGGAUGUCUUUUCAUGUUUUACCAGAGGCUUAAAAGCCAUUUUUUUUUUUUAGGUUGCAAAUGAUAUUUUUAUGAUUUUUAAUUGGAAGAUAAUUGUUUUACAGUGUUGGGCUGAUGUCCGCUGUGCAGCAAUGUGAAUCAGCUAUCAGUACACAUAUAUCCCCUCCCUCUUGACCCUCCCUCCCACUCCCCCAUCCCACCCCUCUAGCUCAUCACAGAGCCCCGAGCUGAGCUCCUGUGCUUUAUAGCAGCUUCCCACUAGCUCCCUCUUUUACACAUGGUACUGUACAUAUGUCAGUCCUACUCUCCCAAUUCAUCCCUCCCUCUCCUUCCCCCACUGUGUCCACAACAGAGGCUCAGAAAUUUCGACAUCUUCUUGUUCUUGAUGAUUUCAUGAAGUUCUAACCUCCCUUGGUCAUUGAACACUUUCAUGUUAGCUAAACAGUGAUCCCUUGUUUCUCCAUUGACUUCUUAACAUAAAGGAUAUGUCCAGUUGGAAAAAAAAAUGAUAAGAAGGUUAAAUGCUCGGUGGUGCCGUUCUAGAAUCCUAAGAAUCAAGCAAUCAAACCAACAACCAAUCAUUUAAGUAGCCAACAUUUAUCAUGUAAUCUCCUUAAUGUCAGGCACGUGGUGCAUAAUGCUGGCGAUUUCAGUUUGGUGAUGGAUGGAUUCUCUGACUCCAUGUCUCCUCCUGGAGCCUCAUCCAGGAUCUUCUCUUGACAUGGGUUUUCUCCCACACCUGUGGAUUCCUGGAUCCCCCAGUGAUGGCUGUUGGACCCCAGCCUCUGGCUAGUUUCCAGUGUCUGAUUGUGCUAGGUUGUAAUACCAUGUGUUGUCAGCAGGUGCCUCCCUUCUAUUAAUAACACCUCAUGUUUUCUGGCUGAAAAUUUUCGGUUUCUAUUCAACAAAUGAGAAGAAGGUAAAAGUAAACUUUGUGAAUUUGACGUUUCCUUUAAAAAUAAAAAAGUUAGCUUGGAAGGAAGAGUGACUAUGGGUACUGGAGGGCAUGUACAUUUUUUUUGGAUUAGUCCCAUUCAAGGGAACUUUUGGAAGUUUGCUCUGCCACCGAUCCUGUGUGAUUUCUGUAGCAACUGGCCAUGUGUAACUGCUGAGGGCUUGACACCUGGCUCCAGCGACUGAGAAACUGAAUUGUAAAUGUUAUUUAAUUUUAAUUAAAUAGCCACAUAUGCCCGAGGGCCACAGCUUUAGAGUAACAUUUGUUUCUGUCAUUUCAGCAAAGGAGAGAGCAGAAAGUAAAUGGAGAUACAGCACAGAAGUCAGUUAAGG